rnacentral:rRNA from 1 species
AUGGAUUCUGUGGAUCAAGAUCGUCUCGAAGAUGAGGCUAUGAUUGAAACGAGAAGAAGGUGGCGGUGGAGCCAGGAACAAAUUGACGAGUUUCUGAGGGAAAGGACAAGAGAUCGAGAAGAACUGCGCCAGGAACUGGCUGCAGAAUUGCGUGAGAGGGAAAGCAUGGAAUAUGAAAGAAGACAUAGGGACCGGGCCUCCGGGCCAGCCAUGUUAGAUCUGUUUAUUCCGUCAGUCGGCGAGACAAGGGAACAAACCUGCGGGGUGUGCCUUGAGGAUUUCCUGGAAGGCGGAAAGAAGCUGAGGAGGAUGCCCUGCUACCACUCCUUCCAUCAGCGCUGCAUCUUCGACUGGCUUCGCUUUAACCGUCGCUGCCCAGUGUGCCGCUUUGCGAUCACCUCCGUCGAGGAGCAACGUGCCCUUGACCGGGCAAAAGCCGAGGCACCGGCGACAUGUGGUGAUAGGUCAGAGCCAGCCAAGAGGCCGAGACAGAACCCGGCUACUGAUUGA